UAGUGGGACCAUUGGAAACUGUAUGGAACGAAAAAGAUUAAGAGAAUCUAUUUAAGAGAGAAAUGAUGACUUGCAUUUUUAUUUUUAUUUUGCUGAGUUAAUUCACUUCCAGUCACAAUAACAUAUGAUUUUAAAAUCGCCUUCUUCUAAGCACUUU